GACGAACGCUGGCGGCGUGCCUAAUACAUGCAAGUCGAACGCUGAAGAGAGGAGCUUGCUCUUCUUGGAUGAGUUGCGAACGGGUGAGUAACGCGUAGGUAACCUGCCUUGUAGCGGGGGAUAACUAUUGGAAACGAUAGCUAAUACCGCAUAACAAUGGAUGACACAUGUCAUUUAUUUGAAAGGGGCAAUUGCUCCACUACAAGAUGGACCUGCGUUGUAUUAGCUAGUAGGUGAGGUAAUGGCUCACCUAGGCGACGAUACAUAGCCGACCCGAGAGGGUGAUCGGCCACACUGGGACUGAGACACGGCCCAGACUCCUACGGGAGGCAGCAGUAGGGAAUCUUCGGCAAUGGGGGCAACCCUGACCGAGCAACGCCGCGUGAGUGAAGAAGGUUUUCGGAUCGUAAAGCUCUGUUGUAAGUCAAGAACGGGUGUGAGAGUGGAAAGUUCACACUGUGACGGUAGCUUACCAGAAAGGGACGGCUAACUACGUG
rnacentral:rRNA from 1 species